rnacentral:rRNA from 1 species
CUACGGAGGGUGCAAGCGUUGUUCGGAAUCACUGGGCGUAAAGGGCGCGCAGGCGGUUUGGUAAGUCAGAUGUGAAAGCCCACGGCUCAACCGUGGAAGUGCAUUUGAAACUGCCAGACUUGAGUACCAGAGGGGAAAGUGGAAUUCCCGGUGUAGAGGUGAAAUUCGUAGAUAUCGGGAGGAAUACCGGUGGCGAAGGCGACUUUCUGGCUGGAUACUGACGCUGAGGCGCGAAAGCGUGGGGAGCAAACAGGAUUAGAUACCCUUGUAGUCC